GACGAACGCUGGCGGCGUGCUUAACACAUGCAAGUCGAACGGAAAGGCCCUGCUUUUGUGGGGUGCUCGAGUGGCGAACGGGUGAGUAACACGUGAGUAACCUGCCCUUGACUCUGGGAUAACUUCAGGAAACUGGGGCUAAUACCGGAUAGGAGCUCCUGCUGCAUGGUGGGGGUUGGAAUGUUUCGGCGGUUGGGGAUGGACUCGCGGCUUAUCAGCUUGUUGGUGGGGUAGUGGCUUACCAAGGCUUUGACGGGUAGCCGGCCUGAGAGGGUGACCGGCCACAUUGGGACUGAGAUACGGCCCAGACUCCUACGGGAGGCAGCAGUGGGGAAUAUUGCACAAUGGGCGGAAGCCUGAUGCAGCAACGCCGCGUGCGGGAUGACGGCCUUCGGGUUGUAAACCGCUUUCGCCUGUGACGAAGCGUGAGUGACGGUAAUGGGUAAAGAAGCACCGGCUAACUACGUG
rnacentral:rRNA from 1 species